rnacentral:misc_RNA from 1 species
GAUGAAGAACGUAGCGAAAUGCGAUAAGUAAUGUGAAUUGCAGAAUUCCGUGAAUCAUCGAAUCUUUGAACGCACAUUGCGCCCUCUGGUAUUCCGAGGGGCAUGCCUGUUCGAGCGUCAUAUUAACCACUCCCGCUUGCGGGGUCUUGGGCUUCGCCUCCGGGCGGGCCUUAAAAUCAGUGGCGGUGCCGUCGGGCUCUACGCGUAGUAAAUUUUCUCGCGAUAGGGUCCCGGUGGAUGCUUGCCAACAACCCCCAACUUCUUAAGGUUGACCUCGGAUCAGGUAGGGAUACCCGCUGAACUUAAGCAUAUCAAUAAGCGGAGGA